rnacentral:lncRNA from 10 species
GUGAUAAGUGAAAAUGACAAGAGUGGACCCAAGAAGGAUGACAUUUCAGUUAGAAAACCCCGGAUCCUCGCGGCUGGAUGUGUGUGCUGCAGGGGUGACACAUCAAAUAUGGGUUGCCACAAAUCCACAAAGUCCACACGGAAACUACCAGGCCUCUGUGCGCAGCAAGUGAAUCCACACAGGUGUUGGGGCUACUUGCUUAUGUGGGAUUUUUAUUUAAUUCCCAUCUCCUGAGAGCUGUGCUCCUAUCAUCAUUCACAGCUUAAUCUUGACAUGGAAAGAGCACUUACAGACACCGAGGACCCCCCAGAUCCCUUUGCUGACUGCCUGCCCCUUAUUCAGCUUUGACCCUUCCUCCUCCUUGCCUUGCUCGUCUUUGACUAGGUCAUUCCACUUGCCGAUACUCUGCCCAGCACGCUAUUCCCUGCAUGGCUCUCCCCACAGUUCACCACCUUGACCAUCGUGCAAGCCCCUACCCCUCCCUGCACACCAGGUUACUCUGUCCCCUAACCUACAGUUUACUUCCUGCCCCAAUACUUUCCACCAUGUGAUGCGUUGUUUGUUUGUUUACUUAUUUGUUUUCCGACAGCUGGUUCCUGCUAAGUACAGUUGUGCAGCUUGUGCGCUGCUCAAGGGCUGAAGAAGGUAAUAAUUUAACAAGGUUCCUGGCCAGCUGGUGGGUGGGGGUGUGAGCCCUGCUCUGUGCUGUCAUUCAAGAAUUUGGCCGAUGGAGCUCGCCAAACAGGACACAGGUUUCCAAGGUAAUUUUGGACAUCAACAUCCAGAUGGUCUAAGGAGAAAGGAAAGAACAUAAAGAAUUUCACAGGGGAUGUUUUUCUGGGCCAACCUACACAGAGCUUCGGCUCACAUUCCUUUGGGUAGAGCUGUCACAUGGUCACCUCUAAAUUCAAAAGAGGCUGGGAAAGGCAGCUGAGUUUGUGCUCAGGGGAAAAAUAAAAAAACUUAUAUAUGAUUUGAGCAGCUAGUAAUCUCUUCCUCAAAACUCAAGAACGAAACAGAGCAGUAUUCUCACUUCACAGAGUGAACCUGAAGCCUGGGAAUGCUCAUUUUCUUAGUAGCC